rnacentral:rRNA from 1 species
CAGCAGCCGCGGGAAUACGUAGGGUGCGAGCGUUAAUCGGAAUUACUGGGCGUAAAGCGAGCGCAGACGGUUAUUUAAGCAGGAUGUGAAAUCCCCGGGCUUAACCUGGGAACUGCGUUCUGAACUGGAUAGCUAGAGUGUGUCAGAGGGGGGUAGAAUUCCACGUGUAGCAGUGAAAUGCGUAGAGAUGUGGAGGAAUACCGAUGGCGAAGGCAGCCCCCUGGGAUAACACUGACGUUCAUGCUCGAAAGCGUGGGUAGCAAACAGGAUUAGAUACCCGCGUAGUCCCUGUCUCUUAUAA